AUGGAGAUUUUCAAGGGGGAGGAGCUGUUUUGGCAACGCCGGGGUGGCCAAAAGUGGCUACUUCAAGGCGACUCCAAUACAACGUACUUCCAGGCUAUCGCUAAUGGGUGACGCAGGAAGUGUUCCAUCCCGUGCCUUUGGAAUGGAGAUUCCCUUCUGGAGCACCCGGAUGAGAUUAGAGCCCACAUCUACUCCUUUUUUAAGGGGCUCUUCUCGGCGGAACCCCGGGGUGGGGUCUCAUUGGCGGAUGAUUUCUUGCCUCUAGCGGACAGAGUAUCUGACAGUGAGAAUGCGGAGUUAACUAUCCCAUUCUCGCCGGAAGAGGUGGGAAGGGUGGUCGCCUCUAUGAAGGCGGGGUCGGCACCGGGGCCGAACGGCUUGCCGGUUACCUUCUUCCAGAAAUUCCGGAAUGUCCUAAAACCUGUGAUCAUGCCUAUGUUUCAUGAAUUCUACAUUGGAACAUUUGACAUGGCCCGAAUAAAUUUCGGUAUUAUCACCCUGAUCCCCAAAGUAGUUGGGGCGACGGACAUUCGCCAGUUUAGGCCUAUCACAGUU
rnacentral:rRNA from 1 species